rnacentral:lncRNA from 1 species
AUACUCAAAGCUUUAUGGAUCGAUUGGCUCACUACAAAGGUGGGAUACCUAGAUUUCAGAAGCUAGCCUAUUAUCUUUGGCUGCCCCCUAUCUAUGAGAUAGAUGGGACGGCCUCACCCUCCUCUGCCUUGCGUUGUUUCUUUCUGAGCCGUGGGCUUGGUUUCUGCACCUAUUUUAACCACUCAGAGGUUGUGGAGACGGUGAAUGGUUGGGACUCAUAGUGGCCAGUUAGGCUUCGACUGCUCCAUGUAGCCUUAGAGGUGAAGGAUCUCGUUUAUCCCUCCUCUAACAAAUGAAAGGUGGCUGACGAAGUCAACAAAAUAAUUAGGGAG